rnacentral:rRNA from 1 species
UACGUAGGGAGCGAGCGUUGUCCGGAAUUAUUGGGCGUAAAGCGCGUGUAGGCGGCUUGAUAAGUCUGAUGUGAAAUCUCGGAGCUCAACUCCGAACGUGCAUUGGAUACUGUCAGGCUAGAGUCCGGAAGAGGAGUGUGGAAUUCCUGGUGUAGCGGUGGAAUGCGCAGAUAUCAGGAGGAACACCAAUGGCGAAGGCAGCACUCUGGUACGUGACUGACGCUGAGACGCGAAAGCGUGGGGAGCGAACAGGAUUAGAUACCCUGGUAGUCCACGCCGUAAACGAUGGGUACUAGGUGUCAGGGGUAUCGACUCCCUUGGUGCCGCAGCUAACGCGUUAAGUACCCCGCCUGGGGAGUACGGCCGCAAGGCUA